GAUGAACGCUGGCGGCGUGCCUAAUACAUGCAAGUCGAGCGAACAGACGAGGAGCUUGCUCCUCUGACGUUAGCGGCGGACGGGUGAGUAACACGUGGAUAACCUACCUAUAAGACUGGGAUAACUUCGGGAAACCGGAGCUAAUACCGGAUAAUAUAUUGAACCGCAUGGUUCAAUAGUGAAAGACGGUUUUGCUGUCACUUAUAGAUGGAUCCGCGCCGCAUUAGCUAGUUGGUAAGGUAACGGCUUACCAAGGCAACGAUGCGUAGCCGACCUGAGAGGGUGAUCGGCCACACUGGAACUGAGACACGGUCCAGACUCCUACGGGAGGCAGCAGUAGGGAAUCUUACGCAAUGGGCGAAAGCCUGACGGAGCAACGCCGCGUGAGUGAUGAAGGUCUUCGGAUCGUAAAACUCUGUUAUUAGGGAAGAACAAAUGUGUAAGUAACUAUGCACGUCUUGACGGUACCGAAUCAGAAAGCCACGGCUAACUACGUG
rnacentral:rRNA from 1 species